GUGAACGCUGGCGGCGUGCUUAAGACAUGCAAGUCGAACGAGAGAAGCUUGCUUCUCUAGUGGCGCACGGGUGAGUAACGCGUAACUGACCUACCCCCAAGUCGUGGAUAACAGGCCGAAAGGUCUGCUAAUACAUGAUGUGCUGAUUGCUCUUGUGCAAUCAGUAAAGGUUUACUGCUUGGGGAUGGGGUUGCGUUCCAUCAGCUAGUUGGCGGGGUAAAGGCCCACCAAGGCAACGACGGAUCGCCGGCCUGAGAGGGUGGCCGGCCACAGGGGCACUGAGACACGGGUCCCACUCCUACGGGAGGCAGCAGUUAGGAAUCUUCCACAAUGGGCGCAAGCCUGAUGGAGCGACGCCGCGUGAGGGAUGAAGGUUUUCGGAUCGUAAACCUCUGAAUGGGGGACGAAAGGCCCGUAAGGGAGAUGACGGUACCCCAGUAAUAGCACCGGCUAACUCCGU
rnacentral:rRNA from 1 species